UACGGAGGAGGCAAGCGUUAUCCGGAAUUAUUGGGCGUAAAGCGUCCGUAGGUGGCCAUGCAAGUCUGCUGUCAAAGCAUGGAGCUUAACUCCAUAGAGGCAGUGGAAACUGAAUAGCUAGAGUUCGGUAGGGGUAGCGGGAAUUCCCAGUGUAGCGGUGAAAUGCGUAGAGAUUGGGAAGAACAUCGGUGGCGAAAGCGCGCUACUGGGCCGAAACUGACACUGAGGGACGAAAGCUAGGGGAGCGAAAGGG
rnacentral:rRNA from 1 species